GAUUCAUGAUAACUCCUCGAAUCGCAUGGCCUUGUGCCGGCGAUGGUUCAUUCAAAUUUCUUCCCUAUCAACUUUCGAUGUUUGGGUAUUGGCCAAACAUGGUUGCAACGGGUAACGGAGGGUUAGGGCUCGACCCCGGAGAAGGAGCCUGAGAAACGGCUACUACAUCCAAGGAAGGCAGCAGGCGCGCAAAUUACCCAAUCCCGACACGGGGAGGUAGUGACAAUAAAUACUGAUACAGGGCUCUUUUGGGUCUUGUAAUUGGAAUGAGUACAAUUUAAAUCCCUUAACGAGGAACAAUUGGAGGGCAAGUCUGGUGCCAGCAGCCGCGGUAAUUCCAGCUCCAAUAGCGUAUAUUAAAGUUGUUGUGGUUAAAAAGCUCGUAGUUGAACCUUGGGCCUGGCUGGCCGGUCCGCCUCACCGCGUGUACUGGUCCGGCCGGGCCUUUCCCUCUGUGGAACCCCAUGCCUUUCACUGGGUGUGGCGGGGAACCAGGACUUUUAC
rnacentral:rRNA from 1 species